GGCUGCUACAGGCACUCUUAGACUCUUUAAUGUUGACGAAGUCAGGUACCUGAAGUAGCGCG
rnacentral:pre_miRNA from 2 species